rnacentral:lncRNA from 1 species
UACAACCUUCCAAGUUAAACUUAAGUAAAAAGACUUACACUCUAGAAGUAAGAAGAUGCAGAGUCAACUUACUGAAUGAAUCAAUUUAUAUAUGUAUUUUUAGGAAGAGAUAGACAGACUUGCUUCAAACUACCCUGACCACUUUAAAGUUUACUCGCACUAAAUCAGGUUUGUUGCUCCUUUAUUUAGCCAUCAUCUCUCUUCUUUUCCAUGGCACUGCGUUGACACUUAAUACUAUCGAGUAAAAUGUAGAAGGCUGAUAAUGAUGUGUACCCCUGCAAAUAUGGGAUGGUGGUGUAGGAUUUGUAACCAGGAAAAGAUCCAAACUCAUAGCCGCCCCUAGCCUGCAUUUGAUAUUCAGGUAGAUUUUGUUCAAUACAACAUAAUAUUGUGAAAAAAUUCCAAAAGUAGCUGAUUCUUUUCUGAGAAAAAUGGCCGAUUUUGAGUUGUGGAUCCCCACUGAUGAAUAAGGCCAUGGAUGCUAACCUUGAAGCCCUGGGAUAUGCACCGGAAACGCAGUUUCAGUUUUGAAAUUGUGAUAAGAACUUGCAUGUGUUCGUCACACAUGCAGUCUUCUGUUGUUUAAUCUUCAAUGUACUUUUUGUUAAACAUUUAGCCAUUAAAAACAUAUAUACUUCAGGUGACUUGACCCUUGUCAGAGAGUAUCUUGCCCAGUAUAACUGCUGUGCAAUUUUAUUUCUAGAUCAACUGAUUUUUUUUAACAAAAUGAGCUUUUUUAUUUCAAGAACAUAAUGAAUUUUUCUACUCUAAAAAAUUACUACCUCUUUUCUGUAACUACUAUAAAACAACCCUUGAAAAAGCAUUUUGGGACUGGAUGUGUGUAUUAGCUACAUUAGCUCAAAGAGGGCAAUGAUUAUUUGUAAAUUUUGUUAAUAUAUAUUACACUAACAGAAGUAAUCUGGGACUAGCAUUACAGUUCAAAUAAUUAAAAAAUUAUCAUUAAUUUGUAUUAUGUACUCAUAUAAAUCCUUUCCUAUUUACAUACUUCGGAUUAUUUUUCAGUUAUUUGAUUUAUGCCAUUUUAGAUAAUUUUUCUUUACCCUUCAUUUAUUUGAUUCUUAUUUUUAUAGAUGGUCCCUAUGCGGUUACUCCUUUAAGAAGAAAAAUACAAAAGCCUGUUUGUACCCUCAUCCUUAGCCAACAUUAGUCUUCGUCAUAUAUAACCUUGGAUUUUCUCUAUACCUUCACAAUUAAACACACACACAAACACACACAAACUAUUUAGGCCUCCUUUGAGAUAUACAAUAAAUUGGUAAUAUCUUGUGUUGAACUAGUGAUAAGAAUGGAGACUAUCAUUGAAGAGUACGAGAACAAUAAUUCACAUUUCUAUGACAGUGAUGACAUCACCACCGACGAAGAAGAAGAAGUGCAGGAGCAAGAUGACGAAGAAAGCGCUGCAGAAGAGUACAACAGCAGCACUGAUAUCUACAGCUGUGGAGGUGGAAACCUG